GCAUAUCAAUAAGCGGAGGAAAAGAAAAUAACAAUGAUUCCCCUAGUAACUGCGAGUGAAGAGGGACAAGCUCAAAUUUUAAAUCUGUUAGGUUUUACCUGACCGAAUUGUAAUUUGAAGAAACGUUUUCCGCGAGUGCUUGAUCGGCCCAAGUCCUUUGGGAUGAGGCAUCAUGGAGGGUGACAAUCCCGUACGGCCGUCAUUGCUCGUGUACGAUACGUUUUCAAAGAGUCAAGUUGUUUGGGAUUGCAGCUCAAAAUGGGAGGUAAAUUUCUCCUAAGGCUAAAUACCGGCGAGAGACCGAUAGCGAACAAGUACCGUGAGGGAAAGAUGAAAAGAAUUUUGAAAAGAAAGUUAAACAGUACGUGAAAUUGUUGAAAGGGAAACGAUUGAAGCCAGUCGUACCGACGGGAAAUCAACUUCUCGAGUGCCUAUCGCGGGUGACGUUGAGCUUCACGGCCUUCGUUGCUUGUGUUGUUGGUGCUUUUAGGGUGUACUUUUCCGUAUGGUAGGUCAGCAUCGAUUUCGUUCGUCAUAAAAUGAUCGGGGGAAUGUAGCUUCGGUCUCGUAUCGGAGUGUUAUAGACCUUGGUAGAUGUGACGAUCGGGAUCGAGGAUUGCAACGAAUAUCCUUUUGGGCUAUCCGUCUGGCCUCUGAAAGUCGCUCGGGUGUCGAAAGCGUGCUUACGGCUAUCCGAGUUGGCGGUCAACAGGUUAGAACGUGGUUACAUUNGUUAAGGAUGUUGACGUA
rnacentral:rRNA from 1 species